rnacentral:rRNA from 1 species
CAGCCGCCGCGGUAAUACGUAGGGCGCAAGCGUUAUCCGGAAUUAUUGGGCGUAAAGAGCUCGUAGGCGGUUUGUCGCGUCUGCCGUGAAAGUCCGGGGCUCAACCCCGGAUCUGCGGUGGGUACGGGCAGACUAGAGUGAUGUAGGGGAGACUGGAAUUCCUGGUGUAGCGGUGAAAUGCGCAGAUAUCAGGAGGAACACCGAUGGCGAAGGCAGGUCUCUGGGCAUUAACUGACGCUGAGGAGCGAAAGCAUGGGGAGCGAACAGGAUUAGAUACCCCGGUAGUCCCUGUCUCUUAUAC